rnacentral:rRNA from 1 species
CGCCUUGCCAGCCCGCUCAGAAACUCAAAGGAAUUGACGGGGGCCCGCACAAGCGGAGGAACAUGUGGUUUAAUUCGAUGAUACGCGAGGAACCUUACCUGGGCUAGAACGCAUUCGGAAUCAGGCCCGAAAGGCCUGCGCCAGCGAUGGCCGCUUGCGAGGUGCUGCAUGGUUGUCGUCAGCUCGUGCCGUGAGGUGUCGGGUUAAGUCCCAUAACGAGCGCAACCCCUACUGCUAGUUGCCAGCGGGUCAUGCCGGGGACUCUAGCGGAACUGCCAGCGUAAGCUGCGAGGAAGGUGGGGAUGACGUCAAAUCAGCACGGCCCUUACGUCCAGGGCUACACACGUGUUACAAUGGCCGGUACAGAGGGCAGCCACCCCGCGAGGGGGCGCGAAUCCCGAAAGCCGGUCCCAGUUCGGAUCGGAGUCUGCAACCCGACUCCGUGAAGCUGGAUUCGCUAGUAAUCGCGCAUCAGCCACGGCGCGGUGAAUACGUUCCCGGGCCUU